AAGCUAAGCAGUGAUGUGGAGCAAACCCUAAAAACGAAUCUCAGUUCGGAUUGAAGUCUGAAAUUCGACUUCAUGAAGCUGGAAUUGCUAGUAAUGGCAGGUCAGCAUACUGCCGUGAAUACGUUCCCGGGCCUUGUACACACCGCCCGUCACACCAUGGGAGCCGGUAAUACCCGAAGUCAGUAGCCUAACCGCAAGGGGGGCGCUGCCGAAGGUAGGAUUGGCGACUGGGGUGAAGUCGUAACAAGGUAUC
rnacentral:rRNA from 1 species